ACAUUGCAACUUCCUGUAAGGUAGUUCUCUGUUGUCGUGUUGCGCCAUUGCAAACAGCUCAGAUUGUGGAUCUUAUCAAAAGCCGCAUUGAUGACAUGACACUAGCUAUUGGUGACGGGGCUAAUGAUGUUUCGAUGAUCCAGAUGGCGGAUGUUGGUGUUGGAAUAUGUGGUAACGAAGGACGACAGGCUGUGAUGGCAUAAGAUUUUGCUAUGGGCCAGUUCCGGUUUCUGAAAUGAUUACUGUUGGUGCAUGGUCAUUGGGAUUAUCACCUCGUUGGUUACUUAGUUCUUUACAACUUCUAUCGCAAUGCUGUUUCUGUGUUGAUGCUAUUCUGGUACAUAUUAAGCACAGCCUUUUCAACGACUUCUGCAUUAACAGAUUGGAGUAGUGUAUUUUAUUCUGUUAUAUAUACAUCUGUCCCUACUAUUGUUGUUGGCAUUCUUGACAAUGACUUGAGUCAUAAGACACUCCUAAAAGUAUCCUAAACUUUAUGAUGCGUAUAAUCUGCAACUCUUUUGGAUCACAAUGAUUGACACACUAUGGCAUAGCCUUGUUCUAUUCUAUAUACCUUUUUUCACAUAUAAGGAGAGCUCAAUUGAUAUAUGGAGCAUGGGCUGUUUGUGGACUAUAGCAGUUGUUAUUCUUGUUAAUAUACAUUUGGUGAUGGACAUUCAACGUUGGGUAUUCAUUACUCAUGCUGCAGUGUGGGGAUCAAUAAUUAUCA